rnacentral:rRNA from 1 species
UGGCUCAGAUUGAACGCUGGCGGCAUGCCUUACACAUGCAAGUCGAACGGCAGCACGGGGGCAACCCUGGUGGCGAGUGGCGAACGGGUGAGUAAUACAUCGGAACGUGUCCUGUAGUGGGGGAUAGCCCGGCGAAAGCCGGAUUAAUACCGCAUACGCUCUACGGAGGAAAGGGGGGGAUCUUAGGACCUCCCGCUACAGGGGCGGCCGAUGGCAGAUUAGCUAGUUGGUGGGGUAAAGGCCUACCAAGGCGACGAUCUGUAGCUGGUCUGAGAGGACGACCAGCCACACUGGGACUGAGACACGGCCCAGACUCCUACGGGAGGCAGCAGUGGGGAAUUUUGGACAAUGGGCGAAAGCCUGAUCCAGCAAUGCCGCGUGUGUGAAGAAGGCCUUCGGGUUGUAAAGCACUUUUGUCCGGAAAGAAAACCUCCGCCCUAAUAUGGUGGGGGGAUGACGGUACCGGAAGAAUAAGCACCGGCUAACUACGUGCCAGCAGCCGCGGUAAUACGUAGGGUGCAAGCGUUAAUCGGAAUUACUGGGCGUAAAGCGUGCGC